rnacentral:tRNA from 1 species
AAGGCUUUAAGUUAUGAAACUAAUAGCCUUCAAAGUUAUCAUAAAGAGUUAUUUAACCUCUUAAGCCUUA